GCCUGGCGGCACAGUGCUUAGCACCAUUGACUUUCAAUGAGGUGGUUCCGGGUUCGAGCCCUGGCCGGCCA